AACUUUUUUCUUUUAAAAAUAAGUGAACGAAUAAUUAGAGAUUUGUGUAUAUAGGAGCUACACAGGUGGUUUUUUCCCUCCCCAUUUGGUUACUGAGUGCUGAGUUUAAAAGUGGAGUGCAUGCUUGAUUCAGAAAUUGGAACUGAAGAUGAGUCAGCUUUUUGACACUUUGUGAGAAUACUUACUUUUAAUUACCGACAAAGAAUGCACCUUCUCAUUUAUAAUGUAAUUUUAGUGGAAUUAAACGUGAACAGAUAAAAUGUCACAUAAUUGUGUUCUAUUUCAGUCAGAUGAAAACUCAGAGCUGCUGUGCCUCUUGGCAGUCUGUUUAUGUAACUGUAAUGUGGGCUGAGUUUCUUUCGUGUUCACAGAUCAGAUAUGUGUUUUUGCCUAAAGAGUUGAGUGACAGCAUUUGCUGCAUAGAUAUUUAAAAUACUGAGUAAAUACUGGAAUAGAACAGUGAGUAAGACAGAUAGGAGUCACAUAGACCUUUCCAGUCAAGGGUUGGGCAGAAUAGGUUCAUAGCAUGUCUUACUUGCAUUUGGUGAAUUUGCUUGCUGGUAACAAUAUAGCUUGCUAUUUGUCUUUGUGUAAGGGAGAUACAUUUUAGGACCCACAGUGGAUGCUGGAAACAUUGAGCUGUACUUAGACUGUUCCCUGCACACGCCCCCUCCAGACUUACAUACCUACAAUAAAGUUUAAUUUAUAAGUUAGAUUUUGUGAGACAUUAAUCACAGUAAAAAUAAAUAGAACAAUGCACUAUGAUAAAAUUUAUGGGAAAAUGGAUCUCUUUCCCUCCCAACUUGCUGUACCAUGCUCACCCUUUUUGUAGUGAUAUGCGGGGAUACAGUAUGCUAUGUGCUCAUCAGCCUCUUAGUGGUCAUUUGGUUACCAGAUCAACUAUCACAGGCUACUAUGUAAGCAAUUCUUACUUAGCAGCCCACCAUUACAUCAUAGCUCCUGCAUCAUUCACCUCACUUCAUCUUAUCAUAGCUCCUUAAAUCAGAACCAAAACAAAUCCUUCCUCCUUCUAGUUGUCUCUGUCAGGUGUUUGAUCAUAGCAUGUAAAAGUGAGCUAUACAAUUCUGUUUAUAGUGAUAUAUUGUUAUUAUAGGAGGAGAAAUGGAUACUUUCCUGGCAGUUCAGUCCCCCAGAGCACACCUUGGCUUAUUUAUAUAGUCUUAUGUUUACUUCUUUUAAACCACUAUCAAUUUAUCAGCUUUCAUCACUUCUCUUGCUACUGCCUUAGUUUUAUUUUUUUAAUUAAAAUAAGAAAUUAUGUGUAUGCAUGUUUUACCUGCAUGUAUGUAUGUCUUACUGCAUGUGAGCCUGGUGCCUAUGGAGGUCAGAGAAGGGUGUUGGAUUCUUGGAGCUGGGGUUAGAGACGUUGUGACCAGGCAUGUGGAGGCUUGAGAAUGAAACCUGGGUCCUCCUGAGGAGCAGGGAGUUCUUUUAACCACUGAGCUUUUCUCCAGCCCCACUGCUUUCCUUAUGGUAGGAGUUCUGCCUCCUCCAGUGACCAUAGCAGCUUCCGAUUGUCCUCUGCUCAGACCUCAACCUUGCUGUACUCUUAAUUCCUUUUUUUUUAAACUUCAGAUUGGCUCAGCUGAUCCUCUUUGCCUUAGUUUCUUAAGUUUCAGUAGAUGGGACUUCACUCUGCCACUUUUCUACUUUGAAGCCAGAAUGAUUUUACUGAGAUGCAUGUGUAGGGAUCCUGGGAAUUCCCUAAGUGACACUCCUUGAUUGGGUUCACAGUUUGACGAGCAAGGGACUGGAAAGUGCUCACUAGGGAGAGUGAUUGGCACUUUGGAAGGUGUUUCUUUCCUGUUUAACUAAGACUGGAAAUAGGCAUACUGAUUAUAUCAAUAUGUGCUCAAAAUCAGUCAUACUGUUUUGUUAUAUAUAGUUUUAUUUCAAUGUAUUGAUAUGAUGAUUGUUGCAAAUAUAAUUGAUCUGUUAUUAUACAGUUGAAUUUGAAAUGUUGGUUCUGCCUUUUGUAGCUCAUAGUUUUAUAAGCUAUUGGCUUGUUCCUAUUACACUCUGCAAUAUUUGGUUUACUUUAUACAGUGUUCAUUUAGUCAACAGAAAGAGUUGAUUUCUUUUCUUCCAUCUCUUCUUUUUGCCUCUUUCUUUCCCACCUCUCCUUUUUCUUUUUUCCCCUCUCACUCUAUUGCCUAAGCUUGGUCUGAACUCUAGGGUUCCGGUGACCGUGCCAGACUCUAAGUAACUGAAACUACAGACUAGUGUUGUACUGGAGAGAAAUCACUAAUUUCUAGUGGAGAUCAGAGGUUUCUAAUUUAGUUGGCCUUAUGUCGAGGAAGGAGGUUGACAGUUCACUUAUUCAGUGGAAAGCGUAUAUUUACUAAUAUCAGGCCUAUUGUGUUAUCAGUAAAGUUAGAGAAGAUGCUAUCUGUCUUACUCUUCUUAUUGUAGUAGCCAAAUACCUGACAGUAACAACUCAAGAAGGAAAGAUUUAUUUUGGCUCUCAGUUUCACAGGGUUCAGUCCGUUAUGAUGGAAAGGUUUGGCAGAAUAAUUUAUAUCAUGACAGACAAAAACAGCAGGAAACAGAGAGAAUACAGGAAUGGCCAGAACAAGAUAGAGUUCCAAACAUGUUCCACCUGACCAGCGUCUUCCUGCUAAGCCCUAAUCUUCACCAUCUCUUAUUAAUGUCACAGGAAUCCAUUGAUGGUUUGACCUAUUACUAGAGUCUUUAGGAUCUAGUCAUUUACCAAAAGUCCAUUAGCUGCCAGUCAAGCUUGUAUCUGAGCCAUAGUACUGUUGGAAUUAGUUAAGAGGCAGUUAGUUAAUUAUUGUUGCCUCCUAAGGUAGUUCAAAAGCAAACAAAAACUAACAAACCAACAAAUCAAAAAAUAAUAACAAAAAAGCUUACUGGUUGGGCGAUGGUGGCACA
rnacentral:lncRNA from 1 species